rnacentral:lncRNA from 1 species
GAAAAACACACACAGUACCGCGUAACUACGACUUAUGUAGCUAACAUGUUCAUUAGAAACGGGCUAACAAGCUAGCUAGGGGGGGCUGCAGGAAACUAGUUUGCUGGAGCACCACUUCCUCUAGAAGCCACACAGAGACACACACAGACCCAAAAUGGAGGCUUUGGAGUAGAGGACUUUAAUGGCGACACUCAUCUCUGCGUGCCGGGUCAAAUAUCUCAACAUGGAUGUCGGCCCACCGUAAGCUCAACCUCGACAAGAUAGAGCUGCUCUUCCUCCCCGUUGGAAGGCCAGCCCGCUUCAAGACCUCUCCAUCAUCACGGUUGACAACAACUCCACGUUGUUCCCCUCCAAGAGUACAAUGAAACCUUGGCGUGACCCUGGACAACACCUGCAAACAUCAAAGCACUGACUUGUUCCUGCAGGUUCAUGAUGAAAUCUUCAAAGAGUAUUAACCCACCACCAACUUGCCUUUCAUUUAACUAACCCAUUCAUUUAACUAACCCAUUCAUUUAACUAACCCUUUCACUUAACUAACGCAUUAAUUUAACUAACCCAUUCAUUUAACUAACCCUUUCAUUUAACUAACCCAUUCAUUUAACUAACCCAUUCAUAAAAGU